CUGAUUUCCUCUGGUGGUUUAGGUGUUGCUAAUUACAGUCUAGCACCAUAUGAAAUCAGUGU
ensembl:miRNA gmo-mir-29c gmo-mir-29c